CGAAUGUCCCUAAGACCCAGAAGGGCCUGCGCUCAGCUGCUCUGGCACCCCGCUGCAGGGAUGGCCUCCUGGGCUAAGGGCAGGAGCUACCUGGCGCCUGGUUUGCUGCAGGGCCAAGUGGCCAUCGUCACCGGCGGGGCCACGGGCAUCGGAAAAGCCAUCGUGAAGGAGCUCCUGGAGCUGGGGAGUAAUGUGGUCAUUGCAUCCCGUAAGUUGGAGAGAUUGAAGUCUGCGGCAGAUGAACUGCAGGCCAACCUACCUCCCACAAAGCAGGCACGAGUCAUUCCCAUACAAUGCAACAUCCGGAACGAGGAGGAGGUGAAUAAUUUGGUCAAAUCUACCUUAGAUACUUUUGGUAAGAUCAAUUUCUUGGUGAACAAUGGAGGAGGCCAGUUUCUUUCCCCUGCUGAACACAUCAGUUCUAAGGGAUGGCACGCUGUGCUUGAGACCAACCUGACGGGUACCUUCUACAUGUGCAAAGCAGGCAAAUCAGCAAUGUCUUACCAAUCCAAGAUUCCUUGCUAACAACUGUCAAUUAAAAGUCUACAGAAUUGAAAUUCAGCCAUGAUUUUUAUUAGCCAAAACUGAAUUAAAGAAUACAAGGCCGGCCGGGCAUGGUGGCUCAUGCCUGUAAUCCCAGCACUUUGGGAGGCCGAGGCGGGCGGAUUACCUGAGCUCAGGAGUUUGAGACCAGCCUGGGCAACACGGUGAAACCCCAUCUCUACAAAGAUACCAAAAAAA
rnacentral:sRNA from 1 species